rnacentral:rRNA from 1 species
UACGGGGGGGGCAAGCGUUGUUCGGAAUUACUGGGCGUAAAGGGCUCGUAGGCGGCCAACUAAGUCAGACGUGAAAUCCCUCGGCUUAACCGGGGAACUGCGUCUGAUACUGGAUGGCUUGAGAUUGGGAGAGGGAUGCGGAAUUCCUGGUGUAGCGGUGAAAUGCGCAGAUAUCAGGAGGAACACCGGUGGCGAAGGCGGGUCUCUGGGCCGAUAUUGACGCCGAGGAGCGAAAGCCAGGGGAGCAAACGGG